CGAUCCCAGGAUCCUGGGAUCAUGACCUAAGCCAAAGCAGACGCUUAACCAAUUGAUCCACCCAGAUUCCCCUUAAGUUUCUAUUUUU